CGUGUUCACUGUAUUUCAGCAGAGCAGAGAGGUGGAAUCUUAUCACUGGCUCUUUUAGAGUCUCUGCUCAUAGAGGUGGCCAACUUUUAAAAAUAUGACCCCAGGGGAUUGUUCUGUGUGGAUCUUUCUUAGGAGCUUGAGGAGCAGCACGAAAUAGCCUGAGAUUUGGAAUCUGAGCACCGGCGCUUACUAGUCAUGGUCCUUAGCAAAAUGUCUUCGCCUUCCAGAGCCUCUAUUUCUCCAGCAGUGCUCCGGGAAGGAACCGCCUUCCUUGCUGAGUCACGAGGCUCAACGGAGAUGACACGGCAGCUUCUGGGCCAGCUCGGAAUCCUGGUAGGAGGCAGCUUCCAGAGGUCUAGAGCCGGAGACGUGAAAACUACCGCAAUGUCAGCUGAGUGGAGGCUCCAGGGGCGCUCCAAGGUCAUUUCGCUGUGAGUCUGGCUCUCCAGAUGGGAGCUGCCCUGGCAAGCACAACUGAGAGCCCCAGUGCCCAUGAACUUCAGUCAGGAAUGGCAGGGUGGUAUCUUGAAAGACGUGUGAGGUGUGCAUGGGUGACACUGCGUCCUUGAGCAGCCCUAGCGUAUUUUUUAAGCACUCACGGGCAUGGCCAUGGCAAGGACCCUGCAUUUAUCAUGUCCUAUACUAGCCGGCACCGGUCUGCUGCUGCCACCAUAACCAGUCGUCCCCGAAUCUCAGUCACCGGAAGCAAUGACAGUGUAUUUCUCAGCGACAUUCCAUUCACAUUACUGCCCUUCAGGGAAGGGGUCUGCCCCGGCUGCUCCUCUGAUGGGUACAUCACCGCCUCAUCACGCCGUCCUCCCCCCACCAGCCGGGGAGUGUCGGGGAGCAUGGGGAACAGUGCACCUGCUGUGAAACGCAUCGGCCUGAAACAGCGCCCCACUCCGGCUCCCAUUUCCCCGGCCAGAGGCUGUCACAUCGCCACCCCUAAAUUCACGCAGGUGCAGAGAAGUGUAACCCUUCCCUGGGCCUUACGGAGAGGAAACCCGGGAAUAGCAGACGCCUCCAAGCCUCUACUGCGUCACUCAUCUCUACAACAAACUCGCGACUGAUCUCACGUGAGCAAGGCUACAUAGUAUUCUGUGGUGUCGAUGUGCCAGGGAAGAUGCCCAGCCAGCUCCAGCUUCUCCUACCGCGUCGCGUACGUGUGGGGACGCUUUUACU